rnacentral:tRNA from 1 species
GCGCCGGUGGUGUAAUGGCGUAGAGCAUUCCCGCCCGGUCAGAGGGAGGUGCGGGUUCGAGUCCCGCCUGCCGCU